rnacentral:rRNA from 1 species
AAGCUCUUGUAGGUCGAACAGACCUUCAGUAAUUAAAUUCUUCUAUAAUCACUUGCUUAAUCCAACAUCGAGGUCGUAAUAAAUUUUGUAAAUCUGAUCUUUUUAAAAAUUUUACG